rnacentral:rRNA from 1 species
UACGUAGGGGGGCUAGCGUUGUCCGGAUUUAUUGGGCGUAAAGAGCGUGUAGGCGGCCAGGUAGGUCUGGUGUGAAAACUCGAGGCUCAACCUCGAGACGUCGGUGGAAACCGCAUGGCUAGAGUCCGGAAGAGGAGAGUGGAAUUCCCGGUGUAGCGGUGAAAUGCGCAGAUAUCGGGAAGAACACCCGUGGCGAAGGCGGCUCUCUGGGACGGUACUGACGCUGAGACGCGAAAGCGUGGGGAGCGAACAGG